GACGAACGCUGGCGGCGUGCCUAAUACAUGCAAGUAGAACGCACAGUUUAUACCGUAGCUUGCUACACCAUACACUGUGAGUUGCGAACGGGUGAGUAACGCGUAGGUAACCUGCCUGGUAGCGGGGGAUAACUAUUGGAAACGAUAGCUAAUACCGCAUAAUAUUGAUUAUUGCAUGAUAAUUGAUUGAAAGAUGCUAUUGCAUCACUACCAGAUGGACCUGCGUUGUAUUAGCUAGUAGGUGAGGUAACGGCUCACCUAGGCGACGAUACAUAGCCGACCUGAGAGGGUGAUCGGCCACACUGGGACUGAGACACGGCCCAGACUCCUACGGGAGGCAGCAGUAGGGAAUCUUCGGCAAUGGACGAAAGUCUGACCGAGCAACGCCGCGUGAGUGAAGAAGGUUUUCGGAUCGUAAAGCUCUGUUGUAAGAGAAGAACGGGUGUGAGAGUGGAAAGUUCACACUGCGACGGUAUCUUACCAGAAAGGGACGGCUAACUACGUG
rnacentral:rRNA from 1 species